rnacentral:snRNA from 1 species
AGAUCUAUCGUCGACUAUCACU